CUCAUUGGCCCGAAUUCACAAAGGAGGUUUAGAUUUAACCCAGGCUAAAUCGCGUCAUAAUACGUCAUAACCCCGAGCUUUAGACCAUGGGUCAUUAUUUUGGUAUUCACAAAGGAAGUUUAGAUUUAACCCAGGCUAAAUCGCGUCAUAUUACGUCAUAUUUUUAGCCUGCUCAGAAGGGUGGUUUAAACAGCGGGCUAAAUCUAACCCACGGUUUAACCCACGGUUUAACGCGUCAUAUGACGUCAUACCAGCGAGCUUUGGCUUUUUAGCGCAGACGACCGUACAAAUUUUGUUGACAAAUUUGUGGUGAAACAAAGUGAAGAGACCUUCACAAAGUUGCUGUUUUUUCAACUUUGAUAGCCUACAUUAGACAGCAUGGCUGAAUAUAUUCACCAUCUCCGCCAGCUUGAUCGGAACAGAGAGUUGAUAGGCAGACUUCAGAGAGGCCUUCGUGACCCAUGAACCCUUUUGAAGUGUAUGAUGAUGAGUCAUUUCGGACCAGGUAUUGGUUUUCAAAAGAGACAGUGCUCUACCUCAUCAACUUGGUGGAUGAAGAGCUGAGGAGGACGACAGACAGAAACGACCCAAUACCUAUACAGGUAGUGACAGCACUUUGAUUCUAUGCUGUUGGGUCAUUCCAAAAGAUGCAUGGUGAUGAGGCACAACUUUCACAGUCUUCUGUAUGCAGAGUCAUCAAAGACGUGUCAGAAGCGUUUGCAAGAAGAAGGAAACAAUUCAUGAAGUUCCAAACAUCAAGAGAAGAAGUAGGAGCAACACAGCAGCAGUUCUACCAAUACUGCAGGUUGCCAUGUUUUCUAGGUGCAAUUGAUAGGACUCAUGUCUACACCAGGAGUCCUGGUGGAGAUCAAGCCCUGUAUUUUAUUAAUAGGAAGAACAGAUACUCUAUUAAUGAAAUGAAAAUUUUCCCUUUUUUUGGAGAUGCUCCCCAUUUACUUUUAAUCCGAUUAAUUAAAUGACCGAUAUGGAAUUGGUUCACCCUUUAGUUUCUCUGAACGAAAAGUACACCCAUGCAGUACUGUGGUCUGAAACAAUUAGACCGUAUGAUUUGAAAUCUAAUGGUUGAUAUAGUUCCUCCCAAAAACAUUUUUGCAAAAGGUACCAACCACUUUGAAAGGGAAAUCGUCAUCAUCUUCAUCAUCAUCAACAUCAUCACUGAAAUCGUUAUUUGACUGCUUCAUCACCAUCACCACCGACAACAUUGCUGUCAUCAUUAUCAUCACUGACAUCAUCAUCGACUUCAACAUUGUCUUCGUCAAUAACCUUGAAUACUUGUUUUGAUUAUCCAUAUUAAAUCGUCAAUAUUUAAAUAUAAA
rnacentral:lncRNA from 1 species